UAGCAUAUCAAUAAGCGGAGGAAAAGAAACCAACAGGGAUUGCCCCAGUAACGGCGAGUGAAGCGGCAACAGCUCAAAUUUGAAAUCUGGCUUCGGCCCGAGUUGUAAUUUGCAGAGGAAGCUUUAGGCGCGGCACCAUCUGAGUCCCCUGGAACGGGGCGCCACAGAGGGUGAGAGCCCCGUAUAGAUGGACGCCUAGCCUGUGUAAAGCUCCUUCGACGAGUCGAGUAGUUUGGGAAUGCUGCUCAAAAUGGGAGGUAAAUUUCUUCUAAAGCUAAAUAUUGGCCAGAGACCGAUAGCGCACAAGUAGAGUGAUCGAAAGAUGAAAAGCACUUUGAAAAGAGGGUUAAAUAGCACGUGAAAUUGUUGAAAGGGAAGCGCUUGUGACCAGACUUGCGCCGGGCAGAUCAUCCGGUGUUCUCACCGGUGCACUCUGCCCGGCUCAGGCCAGCAUCGGUUCUCGCGGGGGGAUAAAGGCACCGGGAACGUAGCUCCUCCGGGAGUGUUAUAGCCCGGGGCGUAAUGCCCUCGCGGGGACCGAGGACCGCGCAUCUGCAAGGAUGCUGGCGUAAUGGUCAUCAGCGACCCGUCUUGAAACACGGACCAAGGAGUCAAGGUUUUGCGCGAGUGUUUGGGUGUAAAACCCGCACGCGUAAUGAAAGUGAACGUAGGUGAGAGCUUCGGCGCAUCAUCGACCGAUCCUGAUGUUUUCGGAUGGAUUUGAGUAGGAGCGUUAAGCCUUGGACCCGAAAGAUGGUGAACUAUGCUUGGAUAGGGUGAAGCCAGAGGAAACUCUGGUGGAGGCUCGCAGCGGUUCUGACGUGCAAAUCGAUCGUCAAAUCUGAGCAUGGGGGCGAAAGACUAAUCGAACCAUCUAGUAGCUGGUUACCGCCGA
rnacentral:rRNA from 1 species